rnacentral:sRNA from 1 species
ACUGGAUGGGGUGGUGGUGAGUGGUGAAUACAUGGCUAUUCUUCUUCUUCUAUUCUCUUAUUGAAGUCGAUCGAUUGGUGACGGUGUGCUCAGGUUUUAUUCAUUUCAUUCAGCGCCAAUCAAAGCCCAAAAGUUUCCUUUUUUUGCCAAUGGAUGUUUUGAUCAAUCCGUCGACUCUACAUUUGGGGGUGGUAAUUACUAGCAUCAUCAUCAUCAUCAUCAUCAUCAUCAUCAUCAUCAUCAUCAUCAUCAUCAUCAUCAUCAUCAUCAUCAUCAUCAUCAUCAUCAUCCAUCAUCAUUGCUGGCCAGGCGUUGGUCACGGAACCAUUUCAAGCUUUCCAUCAUCAAAAGAUUA